rnacentral:lncRNA from 1 species
CUGAGCCAGCCCAGGCUGGCCUUAUCUCUCUCCUCAGCCCAGUGUUUGUUUGAAGAGAAUCAAAGCAUGUUCUUUUUCUGUUUUCUUCAAAGGGAAGGAGAGAAUGAUGCUGGCCACUGCAAGAGGAGAGGGGACUUCGGUUUGCUGGUGGAGUGGUCACAUCAGAGCUUCUGCUGCAGUCUCUUUGCUUCUGGUCAAGUUCUAGCUCUGCUGCCAUCUUUCACCUCCAACACCCCUGAAGCACGGGGAACAGAGGAAGCCCCAGCCACCGCUUCAUGCUUUUGUGGUCAUAGAAGGUCAGAGCAUGCUGACAGAGCAAUUCCUGAGAUUCCAGGCUAGCAGGUACACUGAAGGAUACCAUCUCAGGACAUAUUGAACAGGGGCAAGAAGCCAUAGAUUUUAACCAGUUCAAAGACCAAAAGGACGAAAAACAGGUACUCUGAUGUGUUGUGCUGGCAGCUGGUUUGGGAUGUUAUAUUUUGUAUUUUCUUUCCUCCCCCUCCUCUCCUUCCUGCCUCUCCUGCAUCCCUCGGCCCUUCUCCCUCUCCUUUCUUCUGAGUUUUGGGACAAGAUCUUAC